rnacentral:rRNA from 1 species
CCUACGGGUGGCUGCAGUGGGGAAUAUUGGACAAUGGGCGAAAGCCUGAUCCAGCCAUGCCGCGUGUGUGAAGAAGGCCUUCGGGUUGUAAAGCACUUUCAGUGGGGAAGAAAGCCUUGGGGCUAAUACCCUCGAGGAAGGACAUCACCCACAGAAGAAGCACCGGCUAACUCCGUGCCAGCAGCCGCGGUAAUACGGAGGGUGCGAGCGUUAAUCGGAAUUACUGGGCGGAAAGCGCGCGUAGGCGGUCUGAUAAGCCGGUUGUGAAAGCCCCGGGCUCAACCUGGGAACGGCAUCCGGAACUGUCAGGCUAGAGUGCAGGAGAGGAAGGUAGAAUUCCCGGUGUAGCGGUGAAAUGCGUAGAGAUCGGGAGGAAUACCAGUGGCGAAGGCGGCCUUCUGGACUGACACUGACGCUGAGGUGCGAAAGCGUGGGUAGCAAACAGGAUUAGAUACCCUGGUAGUC